AUACGGAGGGUGCAAGCGUUAAUCGGAAUUACUGGGCGUAAAGAGUGCGUUAGGUGGUUGAGUAAGUUAUCUGUGAAAUCCCUGGGCUUAACCUGGGCAGGUCAGAUAAUACUGCUUGACUCGAGUAUGGGAGAGGGUAGUGGAAUUUCCGGUGUAGCGGUGAAAUGCGUAGAGAUCGGAAGGAACACCAGUGGCGAAGGCGGCUACCUGGCCUAAUACUGACACUGAGGCACGAAAGCGUGGGGAGC
rnacentral:rRNA from 1 species